rfam:Clostridium sp. N3C genome assembly, contig: N3C_contig65
AUUAAAUAAGGUAAUAAACCGUAGACAGUAGGUGCCAUAAGGCGUAACGGGCUCCAACCUACCGAGGGUUCCGAUACAUUAAGUUAGUUAGGUCUCUCUGCGUCUGCGGGGGACUUUAUUAUUGUGUAA